rnacentral:rRNA from 1 species
UCGGAAAGAAAUCUGAAAUGACUGAGUGGCGGACGGGUGAGUAACGCGUGAGUAACCUGCCCUUAGGAAAGGGAUAGCGUCUGGAAACGGACGGUAAUACCAUAUAAAGUAUAUUAACGGCAUCGUAGAUAUACCAAAGCUGAGGCGCCUAAGGAUGGACUCGCGUCUGAUUAGAUAGUUGGUGGGGUAACGGCCUACCAAGUCGACGAUCAGUAGCCGGACUGAGAGGUUGAACGGCCACAUUGGGACUGAGACACGGCCCAGACUCCUACGGGAGGCAGCAGUGGGGAAUAUUGCACAAUGGGCGAAAGCCUGAUGCAGCAACGCCGCGUGAAGGAAGACGGUUUUCGGAUUGUAAACUUCUGUUCUUAGUGAAGAAUAAUGACGGUAACUAAGGAGCAAGCCACGGCUAACUACGUGCCAGCAGCCGCGGUAAUACGUAGGUGGCAAGCGUUGUCCGGAAUUACUGGGUGUAAAGGGAGCGUAGGCGGGAAGCCAAGUCAGCUGUGAAAACUACGGGCUUAACCUGUAGACUGCAGUUGAAACUGGCUUUCUUGAGUGAAGUAGAGGUUGGCGGAAUUCCGAGUGUAGCGGUGAAAUGCGUAGAUAUUCGGAGGAACACCGGUGGCGAAGGCGGCCAACUGGGCUUUAACUGACGCUGAGGCUCGAAAGUGUGGGGAGCAAACAGGAUUAGAUACCCUGGUAGUCCACACUGUAAACGAUGAUAACUAGGUGUGG